AUUGAACGCUGGCGGCAUGCCUUACACAUGCAAGUCGAACGGCAGCGCGGGAGCAAUCCUGGCGGCGAGUGGCGAACGGGUGAGUAAUAUAUCGGAACGUGCCCAGUAGUGGGGGAUAGCCCGGCGAAAGCCGGAUUAAUACCGCAUGAGACCUGAGGGUGAAAGCGGGGGAGUCGCAAGACCUCGCGCGAUUGGAGCGGCCGAUAUCAGAUUAGGUAGUUGGUGGGGUAAAGGCUCACCAAGCCGACGAUCUGUAGCUGGUCUGAGAGGACGACCAGCCACACUGGGACUGAGACACGGCCCAGACUCCUACGGGAGGCAGCAGUGGGGAAUAUAGGACAAUGGGGGAAACCCUGAUCCAGCGAUGCCGCGUGAGUGAUGAAGGCCUUCGGUUGUAAGACUCUUUGUCACGCGACGAUGAUGACGGUAGCGUGAG
rnacentral:rRNA from 1 species